UAGGGAAUAUUGCACAAUGGGGGAAACCCUGAUGCAGCGACGCCGCGUGAAGGAAGAAGUAUCUCGGUAUGUAAACUUCUAUCAGCAGGGAAGACAAUGACGGUACCUGACUAAGAAGCCCCGGCUAACUACGUGCCAGCAGCCGCGGUAAUACGUAGGGGGCAAGCGUUAUCCGGAUUUACUGGGUGUAAAGGGAGCGUAGACGGUAUGGCAAGUCUGAUGUGAAAGGCCGGGGCUCAACCCCGGGACUGCAUUGGAAACUGUCGGACUGGAGUGCCGGAGGGGUAAGCGGAAUUCCUAGUGUAGCGGUGAAAUGCGUAGAUAUUAGGAGGAACACCAGUGGCGAAGGCGGCUUACUGGACGGUAACUGACGUUGAGGCUCGAAAGCGUGGGGAGCAAACAGGAUUAGAUACC
rnacentral:rRNA from 1 species